AGAAUUUUGAUGGAAUAUUUACUAGGAUUCUGUGUAACUGGGUCAAGAAUAUAGUAUCCACAAAUGACAAUUCUAAAUAGACUCCCUCCUUUUCUUAUAACCUAUGGAUGUUGAGGUUUCACUGGACCUCAAGCCACUCUUCUUGCUGACCAUCACCCAGAAACUGAUGUUUGUCCUGAAGAAAGAAUCAUGGUAAAACAUCCAAAAACCUCAAGUCUUUCCCUGGGAUCACAGGAAGGUCGAUAUUAGAGAACUGAUAUCUAAUAGAACUACAGAACCAUAUUUUAUACUCCAUGUUGUCCUUUGCUUAACUGAUGUCUGCUACUUUAUGGAUAAAAUGAGGAUUUGGGAGUUUAUCAUUUGAAGGAGUUACACAAUAUUUACACUGUUAUAUUCGCUCUAUAUCUGGGCCCCGUUUGUAGCCAUAUUCAUUGCAAAAAAUGGAAUUGGAAAAAUGAAAUUUUUUAGUACGCAUGCAGGAACAUAUAAAAUGUCCCCUGUGAAUGAAUGUACAAUCAGAAAAUGUAGCAAAAUAUUCACUCCAUUAAAGGUCUGUAGAGAAAAUACUGGCACCUGGGAAAAUGAGAACACCUAGCGAAUUGAACUUUAUGUCACAGGAUUAGACCUGGGAAUAACAUGAAUCUUCAGAAGAAUCUCCUUCUCUCCAUGUUCCUAGAUCUUUUCUACCCAUGCCAAACCCCUGACUAACUUUCUCCAUUCAGAGCAUGUGACCACUAAUGAAGCAGAGAGAAGUCUCUAGCUUUAGAGAGAUGUAGUAUGUAAAGUUUUCCACGGUGUCACAGGAGACACUCCUGGAAAGGGAACCCAUGAAUCUGGUCAAUGUAAGGAAAGCUGUUUAGAGGGAGGCCAUGGCGGUUCUCAGUGACAUCAUCAUUAGGCCCUCCAUGAAAAGUCUCUUGUAUCCUGGAGAGCCCUAGCUUCUUCUGUGAGGUAACAAGUGUUGUCCUGACUGCAACUGCCUCUCAGAUAUUCCUUCAGUACCACUAGGGUUUACUAAUUGGCCUCUAAUUCAGAGUAAAGAGCCAUUUGGGAGGGAGAACAAAUAGGAUGAAGAGAUCAGAAAUGGGAAGAAGAAGCUGGACAUCUGUCUUGGCAUAAAAGAAAAGAAGAAAUAAUGUGGUUCUUGUGAAAACACGCUGGGCAGAUGGCUUUAGUUCUUUUGUUCUCUAGGUUCACCGAGCUCUUGGAGAACUUGCUGAACAUCCUAAAGACCUUUGAGCAAACGAAGAAUAUGGCACAAGAUCCCUUUGGGCAGAAGGUGGAAGGUUGAAACUGUCCUCCUUAGAGGAGAAACUUCUCAAGACACCAUCAGAAGGAUCAAAUCUUAACCCUGUGUUUCUAGAAACUGGAUGACUGUGGUAUACUUUGGUAGAGGGAGAAUGUCUACUAUUUCUCCCCAGAGUGGACAUGUGAAAUAAAUCUACUUGGGUAGAUGUGGAUAAUUGUAAA